rnacentral:rRNA from 1 species
UACGUAGGGGGCGAGCGUUGUCCGGAUUCAUUGGGCGUAAAAGAGCUCGUAGGGCGGUUUGGCAAGUCAGGUGUGGAAAUCUCCGGGCUCAACUCGGAGAGGCCACCUGAUACUGCUAUGACUUAGUCCGGUAGGGGACCAUGGAAUUCCUGGUGGUAGCGGUGAAAUGCGCAGAUAUCAGGAGGAACACCGGUGGCGAAGGCGGUGUCUGGGCCGGCACUGGACGCUGAGGGAGCGAAAGGCGUGGGGAGGCGAACAGG